AUGUCUGGUGGGCAUCUUCGUGUUAAGUCCUUAAACCUCUCCCAAGCUUCAUAGAAAGUUUUACCAUCUUGUUGUCUGAAGGUUUAUACCUCAACUCUCAACCU